AAACUAUAUACCGAUGGAUUCAUCCAGGUCCAAGAACUUUUAUUGUUUCAUAGCUGUGCCUUGGGAAAAUCCAAUCUUACCCACUGAAUCAGAAGCUUGGUUUCCAUCUCGUAUAUUAUGUGUUUCAUCCGAACAAUGCUCCACUCAUGAAGGAAGGUUCCACUUCUAGAAAGGCUCUCUGCGUCCACAGAUUUCUUCCAUGAUCAGAGUGCUAGAAAAUAUCAGCUGGCAAACAUCAGGAAGACGCGGAUAACUUUUAAAAACCUUAUACAGAUAUUCAAAUAACUCCUGAUGCCCACAGAAGCAAGAACAGAUUGUGCACAAAGGCAAGUUCUCCAUUGCGAAACGGAGACUCUGGAGAUGGAUUCAGAAGACUGGAUAAGAGUCACUUCAAAGCUUCCUUAAAAGUGCAGAGGGAUGGUAAUGCUGGCUAAAAACCAAAUGGUUGAAGGAUAUAGAUGCCACAUGGAAAACUGUUAAGCAAUGACCACUUUGCUUGUGGCAAUUUGCA